GAAUUCCAAGCUUCGCGGCCUAUCAGCUUGUUGGUGAGGUAAUGGCUCACCAAGGCGACGACGGGUAGCCGGCCUGAGAGGGUGACCGGCCACACUGGGACUGAGACACGGCCCAGACUCCUACGGGAGGCAGCAGUGGGGAAUAUUGCACAAUGGGCGCAAGCCUGAUGCAGCGACGCCGCGUGAGGGAUGACGGCCUUCGGGUUGUAAACCUCUUUCAGUAGGGAAGAAGCGAAAGUGACGGUACCUGCAGAAGAAGCGCCGGCUAACUACGUGCCAGCAGCCGCGGUAAUACGUAGGGCGCAAGCGUUAUCCGGAAUUAUUGGGCGUAAAGAGCUCGUAGGCGGUUUGUCGCGUCUGCCGUGAAAGUCCGGGGCUCAACUCCGGAUCUGCGGUGGGUACGGGCAGACUAGAGUGAUGUAGGGGAGACUGGAAUUCCUGGUGUAGAGGUGAAAUGCGCAGAUAUCAGGAGGAACACCGAUGGCGAAGGCAGGUCUCUGGGCAUUAACUGACGCUGAGGAGCGAAAGCAUGGGGAGCGAACAGGAUUAGAUACCCUGGUAGUCCAUGCCGUAAACGUUGGGCACUAGGUGUGGGGGGCAUUCCACGUUUUCCGCGCCGUAGCUAACGCAUUAAGUGCCCCGCCUGGGGAGUACGAGAUCU
rnacentral:rRNA from 1 species